AACGAACGCUGGCGGCAUGCCUAACACAUGCAAGUCGAACGAGACCUUCGGGUCUAGUGGCGCACGGGUGCGUAACGCGUGGGAACCUGCCCUUAGGUUCGGAAUAACUCCCCGAAAGGGGUGCUAAUACCGGAUAAUGUCUUCGGACCAAAGAUUUAUCGCCUUUGGAUGGGCCCGCGUUGGGUUAGCUAGUUGGUAGGGUAAAAGCCUACCAAGGCGACGAUCCAUAGCUGGUCUGAGAGGAUGAUCAGCCACACUGGGACUGAGACACGGCCCAGACUCCUACGGGAGGCAGCAGUGGGGAAUAUUGGACCAUGGGCGAAUGCCUGAUCCAGCAAUGCAGCGUGAGUGAUGAAGGCCUUAGGGUUGUAAAGCUCUUUUACCCGGGAUGAUAAUGACAGUACCGGGAGAAUAAGCUCCGGCUAACUACGUG
rnacentral:rRNA from 1 species